CUCGAUAACAACAUACUUCCGUGUUGCAUGUUAGAGGUUUGUUUCUUUUUUAUUUACAUUUCACAUCUUUGAUGAGAUUAUUGAAACAAACCUUUUGAUUAUUAUUAGUGAUCUCAAAUAGGUCAUAAAACACAAAGUCAAAUCCUUGUCUUUCUGAUUUCUAACUUAAAUACCCUUUUAUCCAUAUAAGAAAUAUAAAUAUAACGUGUCAUGCAAAAUGCUAGCAUUCUCACAGUCUUUCUGCUUUGGGAUAACUUUCUGUCACUGAUGGUUCUUGUUUUGAAACGAUAUACUAUUGUUUUCUCUGUGUUGUCAGUAUUUGAGUACUUUGUCAUUUAUUUAUAGUUUUACUUUACAUUGUCAAAUGUCCUGAAUCGGCAUGAAAUAUCUGUCACUGAAUAUUAAGGAAACAGACAUGCAGAUAAAUUAUGAAAAAAAUUACCGAAGACAAAAAAAAGGAAUAACCAAGUUGGACAGUACAGUAGACAACAUCACAAUUGCGUACUUAUCAGUCGACAGAAGCUUACCACAGAUUUAUUGUCAGGUUUCUCGGAUUGGUAUAGGCUAUUCUAGACACACAAAAUGCAUGGCAAAAACAAGAAAUGUACGUGUGUGACUAUCCCUAUCACAUGUCUUUGUAAUCUGAAGAGCAAAGAUUAAUGUUCUGUCUUACUAUUUGGCAAACCAAAACACUAUAAUAGAUAGGCUGAAGUACCAAAUGUUAAGAACAAUGACCUGUUUCAAAAUAUUUACAAAAAGGAGUAGGUUCGAUAAGGUCCCAAAAUGACCCCUGAUUAAGCGUAAAUUUCAAUUUAGGAUUUAUUGACCAAUAUCACAAGAAAUUAACGCUAAUACAGGGACUAGAUAGGAAAUAACCAAUUGUGUUGAAAAUUAAUGUUCCUGCGUUUUAUGUUGACGUCACAAGUUGUACUCAUAUUGAUUUAACAUGAAAAAAUCAAUAAAAAGGGCUAAAUUUCCAUAGAUUAUUGGACAGGAAACAGAGCGCAGGUCUCGUUUAAGUUACAUGCUACUAAAUAUUUGUCUAAAAAUAGACGAAAAAAAUGACGCUUUAUACAUUUCUUGCAUCCGAAGCGCUUGCAGUAUUAACUGUCAUCAACAACACCCAAAGGGGAUCAUAUGUAUAAGAACCGACCGAAAUUGUGAAAAGCUACAUAUUCAAAACUAUCCUUAAAAAAAAUGUCAAUCUAUCAAACGACAAUUUUGCCUGAAGGAGUCGAACUCGAACAGUCUGAUAUCAAGAACGAAAGAAACAUUGUGUUGAUACAUUCGUUAUUUGCUAUGUUUAUUUUCAUUUUAACUAGUUAUUUUAAAUAUAUAUGCAUACAAUGCUAAAGACAAACAUAUAAAAUAUAAAUAUUUCAAAUAUCGAAUAAAAGUUUCGACUUAUAAAAUUGCUGAGUGGUCAGCAAAACAUUUGAAAGACAUUUUAUGAACAUGUUACCCUAAAAAACAUCGCUUUAUAUUUAAGACUUUUGAAUAAUAACAGGACACACAACAAAAAAAUGAGCAUAUUAUUUUUUAUAUUUUUUACCAGUGACCAAUGUCUACAAAUACAUCAUUGUGUGCUAUAUGUAAUCUACGACAUCUUACCACAUCGUCCACACACUGGUGUUCAGAAUGUGAGGAAUCACUUUGCGUUGACUGUAAAGAACAUCACAUUCUGUCGAAAGCUUCCCGGGGUCACCAGGUCAUCACUAUAUCAGAAUACAAUAGUUUACCUCCGUUCAUCGCCAAU
rnacentral:lncRNA from 1 species